GACAGAGGAGCCAAGCGUUGUCCGGAUUUAUUGGGCGUAAAGAGCGUGUAGGCGGCCCGGUAAGUCCGCUGUGAAAGUCGGGGGCUCAACCCUCGAAUGCCGGUGGAUACUGUCGGCUAGAGUACGGAAGAGGCGAGUGGAAUUCCUGGUGUAGCGGUGGAAUGCGCAGAUAUCAGGAGGAACACCGGUGGCGAAGGCGGCAUCCUGGACCGGUAUUGACGCUGAGGCGCGAAAGCCAGGGGAGCAAACGGGA
rnacentral:rRNA from 1 species